rnacentral:misc_RNA from 1 species
AACUUGGUAGACCCACUGACCUAGUUUCCAUGGCUUGAAAAUAUAAUUCAUGGGAAAAUGAUGCUUAACAAUUCCCUUUUCAGAGCCAUGGUCUAGUAGUGGCAUCUUUGAACCUGCACGUCCUUCCCUCUUCAUAAAUUGUAUGGCCCUCUUUUCUCCACCUAAACAUGCAAUAAGAUACCUCCCAAAGCAGUACAUAGCAAAGGAUUCAUAGCAAUCUCGCAGUAUCCCAAUGUCAACACUA